CAUCUGAAAGAUGUCCUUCGAUUCUUACCGAAACAUUCUCGUCAAACAGGAAUUCGCAAAAACAGACGAUUCAAUCUCCGAUAGAGAGGCGAACUGAGUAUGGCACAUACGACAAGACCAGCUUCUUGUAGUCUGCUCAACUAUGUCCUUUUGAUCGGCACUGGAGCAGAGGUGAUAAACGAUUGCGACAACACUGAUUCAGUUCCGACGAGAGACAGGAAAAGGAUGACGGAAGAUUUGCUUGCUGCGGUAAGUCGUAUUCUGGAUGAACUCAUAAUUGCACCUUGCAUUCCUCCUUGUUUUCCUAUCUUCCAACUUAAACAACUUUUCCUAAUUUCAUUUUAUUAAACUUAUAAGGUAAAGAAAGGAUCCUUGCAGUUUCCCUGCUAUCUCAGACUUCUACGAGACUCGAAGUCGUACCCCCAGAUAUUAGGGAACUUAAGCAGAUCACGACGGCGACGGCAAUGAGGACGUGGAAAAACAAAAGAUCUAAUUGGUAGCACAAUGGCUAACCACGUGCGUUUUAAAGCUUUGUACAUUUCUUAGUCGUACUUUACAAAACAACAACUUGUGUCGUCUGCGAACGGAA
rnacentral:misc_RNA from 1 species